UCUGAAAACAUUAAUAUAUUACGUAUCUUUUAUAUUAUCAAAAGAUGACAACAAUGUGGAAAGCCACUUUGGAUCUUGUUAUGUAUAAUAUAACUGUAUAAAUAAAGAGAAAAGGAGAAGAACUACAUUAUCACAACCAUCCAAAUCUUCAAGAUGUGAAAACAUUAGCCAAAAAAAAAGUCCCAUCUUUUAGCGAUUUUUACCAUCUCGAUUCUUGCUAUGAUCAAUUCCACAUCGCCAAGCGGGGAGAGGUUCUUCACGUCGAUAUAUAGUCCAGACAUAGCAUCGUGGAGCUACUCUUGGGUGUUAAGCUAGGAAUAAAUGAUCGCUCACAGACUCGGUAACUAAUCACACCGUGGAUCUACUCGAAAGUGACAGUCCUUUAUGUGACACUCAAGAUCUGCUCUCGCAGUAACAAGGUUUGCAGAAGAAGUAACCUUUUUCGAUCAUCGUAUCCAUUUAUAACGACCUUAAGUAUAAGUAGAUAUAUGGGGUGGGGAUAUAGCGAAUUUUGUUUUCUGCGGGGAGCAUUUGCACAUCUUUCAUGGAGAAUGAAAUCACAUUCCAUUCACGAAUAGUAAUUACCUUCAUAUGUAGGACUUGCUUGAAAAAAAACUAGUUAGAUUCAUAAAACCUUAUAGAGUGUUUUUUUCAAGCAUGUUUGAUUUCCUCCUAUACAUGAGAGUAAUUUUUAUUCAUGUAUGAAAUGUGCUUUCAUCCUCCAUAAAACAUGUGCAAAUGCUUUCCAUAGGAAACAACAUACGUUAUAUCCCCAUCCACUUACACUUAAGGUCGAUGUCAAUAGUAUGAUAAUAAAUGUUACUUUUACGGUAAAACUUGUUUUCGCGAGAGCAGCGGUUUCAUCUAUUAUUAGUGUUGUAUAGAUCAUCCAAAUUAUCCAUGCUUGUCUGGCUAAAGAACGGAAGCUUUGUCAGAGAUCUACCAAGGGUUUAUUUUAUCGUUGAGUUUGCUAUGUUUUCAGCAUUUUCAUUGUAUAAAAUUCUAGUUGUGAAUUCUUCACAGUGGCUUUUAUCUAUAAAAAUCGGGUUCGAAAUAAUUCCAUUGAUGUAAAAUAUUAUGAGAGAAAUGAGAAGAGCUGUUAUGAUCUUA